AUAUGGCCGACGCGGGUCAAAGUGUAGCAUCUGUUCUUAUCAGCUCAACAUCUGAUACGGGUUAUAUUUGGACCGAAGCCACUAAACUUAUUUUUGCAAGUUGGCGGAGUGCUUGAAGCCUGCUUCACGUACGCCGCGGGUUGGUCCGGUAUUACACUAUCUUUGGGAUCGGCACACGGUUU